rnacentral:tRNA from 1 species
GCAUUGGUGGUUCAGUGGUAGAAUUCUAGCUUGCCAUGUUGGAGGCCUCGGUUUGAUUCCUAGCCAAUGCA